AUGGAUGAGUCAGCACUGGAAAAGUACUUUGAUAACUUCAUUAUGAAUGUGAGUAAAAGCUGCAGCUUGUUAAAGGGUCAGUUCACUCAGAGGAGGAGUCUGAUCGGAGCUCCGAGCUGCCAAAGGAAGAGUCAGGAAGUCCAAACUGUAACUCUAAAAUCAAACGUUUCAUUUCUAAAUCUGAGAAAAUGUCUUACCUGGAAACUGCUUUGGCUCUGCACUAAAACAGAUUACCAGCUGAUUUCUGCAGGUCUGGUCCAGCUCUGGUCCUGGUCUGGUCCAGCUCCGGUCCUGGUACAGUCCAGCUUCGGUCCUGGUCUGGUCCAGCUCCGGUCCUGGUCUGGUCCAGCUCUGGUCCAGCUCUGGUCCUGGUCUGGUCCAGCUCCGAUCCUGGUACGGUCCAGCUCUGGUCCAGCUCUGGUCCUGGUCUGGUCCAGCUCCGAUCCUGGUCUGAUCCUGCUCUGGUCCAGCUCUGGUCCUGGUCUGGUCCAGCUCCGGUCCUGGUACAGUCCAGUUUCGGUCCUGGUCUGGUCCAGCUCCGGUCAUGGUCUGGUCCAGCUCCGGUCUAGCUCUGGUCCAGCUCCGGUCCUGCUCUGGUCCUGCUCUGGUCCAGCUCUGGUCCUGGUCUGGUCCAGCUCUGGUCCAGCUCCGGUGCUGGUACGGUCCAGCUCUGGUCCAGCUUCGGUCCUGGUCUGGUCCAGCUCCGGUCCUGGUCUGGUCCUGGUCUGGUCCAGCUCUGGUCCUGGUCUGGUCCAGCUCUGGUCCAGCUCUGGUCCCACUCUGGUCCCGCUCUGGUCCUGCUCUGGUCCAGCUCUGGUCCUGCUCUGGUCCUGCUCUGGUCCUGCUCUGGUCCUGGUCUGGUCCUGCUCUGGUCCUGGUCUGGUCCUGGUCUGGUCCUGCUCUGGUCCUGCUCUGGUCCUGGUCUGGUCCUGCUCUGGUCCUGCUCUGGUCCUGCUCUGGUCCUGCUCUGGUCCUGGUCUGGUCCUGGUCUGGUCCUGCUCUGGUCCUGCUCUGGUCCUGGUACGGUCCAGCUCUGGUCCUGGUCUGGUCCUGGUCUGGUCCUGGUCUGGUCCUGCUCUGGUCCUGCUCUGGUCCUGCUCUGGUCCUGGUCUGGUCCUGCUCUGGUCCUGCUCUGGUCCCGGCCUAGAGACGGAUGCAGUCUCUCUCUGCAGGACUCCCCACAGAGGAAGGAGGAGCUUGAGGAGGACGAGCUGUUCUUCAGUUUACUGCCUGAUGAGCUGCUAA
rnacentral:lncRNA from 1 species